ensembl:snRNA U6 U6 spliceosomal RNA
GUGUUCGCUUCAGCAGCAUGUAUAAGAAAAUUGGAACAAUUCAGAGAAGAUUAGCCUGCCCCUGCAUAAGGAAGACACACAAAUUCGUGAAAAAAGUCCGUAUUUU